GGACCCGCACAAGCGGUGGAGCAUGUGGUUUAAUUCGAUGCAACGCGAAAAACCUUACCUACUCUUGACAUACUUGGAAGCUCUUGUAAUGAGAGUGUGCCUUUUGGAGCCAAGAUACAGGUGCUGCAUGGCUGUCGUCAGCUCGUGUCGUGAGAUGUUCCGUUAAGUCGGAUAACGAGCGCAACCCUUACCCUUAUUUGCCAGCGAUUCGGUCGGGAACUAUAAGGGGACUGCCGGUGAUAAACCGGAGGAAGGUGAGGACGACGUCAAGUCAUCAUGGCCCUUACGAGUAGGGCUACACACGUGCUACAAUGGGGAAUACAGACGGACGCUAAGCCGCGAGGUGGUGCUAAUCCUAGAAAGUUCUUCGUAGUCCGGAUUGGAGUCUGCAACUCGACUCCAUGAAGUCGGAAUCGCUAG
rnacentral:rRNA from 1 species